AUUUUACUGUUUUCAGUCCCUCAGUGGUUUUGUACCUCACCACAGUUCCUCCAGGUGUCUCUGCUGUGCACCUAGAGGAAGCAGACAUUCCACAGUGCGUGUGUGUAUGUGUUCUUGUGGAAACAAGGUUCUGGAAUUCUCCAGUCUGCACUGCAACUCUGUGGUUCCAAGAUCAUCUACAACUCAGGUCAAGUGAAACAAGACAAGCAGAUGAGAGGAGAUCAAGUGAUUAGCACAGGGCUUUCCCAGUAAAGUACUUGGUGACCUUGUCUGGAGAGAUCCUUUUGAAAAGGUGUAGGUAACAAAGCCAUGGACAGCCAUGGUGUGAAGCCUCUUCAGCAACAAAACAUGGUGCAAGCACAAAAGUGCCUGAACAGAGAUGCUUCUCCAGUGCCGUCCAUUUUCAGCUGAUGAAGACAGUGAAAAUCUCAGAAAUCACAGCUUCAGACCCUCUGCUGCUAGGAUGUCAGGGUCCUCUCUUUCAGUGGCUCCUCACACAAAGGUGAAUACUUACUUCCUUAAAAAGCUCACUAACAAAUCCAUGACUAUAUGGCAAAGAUAUAACGAUCACAGAAAAAGGAAGACCUGGAGGAAAAGGAAAUUCAGUAGGAUGUUUCUAAAUGAAAAUGUGAGCCAGUGAACCUAAUCUCCAUGGGUUUCUUCUAUAGGUUCCAAAGUAAAAACAGACGCUACUCUGAAAACAGUAAAGACUUCAUCACAGAAGCCAAGACAGCAUUUCAACCAGGGAACACACAGAGAACUCACACCCCACUGAGAUGUCUGACUGCUCCUUAUUCCUGCUGAUUUGUAUCCAGUAGAGCAUAUAAGCAACUUAACCAGUUGAUUCCUCUGCUGAGACCGUUUUCCUGAAUUACAAGGGAAAAAAAAAACAGGGAAGAGAGAAGUAAGAAAAAAUAUACAUAAAGAAAAAACACAUAAAGAAAAAAUUAGAUAUGCAUUGGAAAGAAUAUAUAAAUGCCAAAUUCAAAAAUAGCUUAUAGAAUGGCAUCCUUUCUAAUUGCUUAACCAUUUCUCACAUCCUUUAAAUUGAUGUGGAUUCUGUUGAGGAAUUUAAAAAAUCCUAAUUUAACUCCACCAUAAAUAAAUUAAAGCAACAAGCAAAUUAACUGUAGUUUGUUCUAUAUUUGAUGUAAACCUUUCAAAUUUCCAUCAUGUUACUUAGGACAGAAUUUAUUAUUUAAUUACACAUAAAGAAUGGCAUGAGGCACAUAAUAGUAAUGGGGAGUGACAAGUGACUCAAUGAUCUUCAAACUUCUUCUAAAGCAGAGAAUAUUUAUUAUAUAUUAUUAUAUCUAUUAUGGGAUGAUUAUUAUUACAUUUAUUAGAAUAUAAAAGUACUAUUAAACUGUUGCAAAACUGACACUAAUUGCUAAUUCUGUGUCUGUGAUCUGUCAAGAGUUGAGCUGUUUCAGGAUACAAAUGCAGGCACUUUUUUGCCAGUCCUACCUGCAAAACUCCAUAUAAAGGGUAUAUAUGGGACAAAUUUCCCAGACUAAGCCAUGGGGAAGAUGGUACAGCUGGCAAUUCUCUUCAGUUUAGCAGAACAGAGUACAGUAUAUAGGAAAUCAGUUCCUCUUCAUUCCCUUGCCAAAGAGGUUCUUAAAUUUCCAUACUACAUGAAUCAUAUGAGAUUGAUGUUUUGCUUAAUAAAGCCACUUUAUUUCAGUGACAUUUGAAAACUGAGGAUUGUGUACAACCAGGAAUAGCAUUUAUAGAAUUACCUUUUAUGAGUCUUCAUACUCAAUAGUUCAAAAAGUACUUUUUCAAAGAUAUUAGUUUCAUAUUGAUGUACAAAGGACCACAGGUAUGCCCAGGAUAUUUUUCUAGCCAGUAUCAGGACCAAAAGUAACACCCCACCUUCAGUGCUGACCUGCUGCACUGAGACUGGACAGACAGCCCUUGCAGAACCUUCCCCUCUGGGCCAUGUGGUGUGUGCAAGAUGUUGGAUAACUAGCAAUCAAAAGGUUUUAAUGAGAGUAGUGAAGACUGAAAAUUUUGUUUUGUGUUAGACUUCUGAAUUUCAACAAUUGUUUUCAAACUCGGAAAAGAUUUCAUUUUAGUAAUGUUUAAUGUUUUAUUUUUUUAAUGAAAAUUUUAAAGUGUAUUGUUGUUCUUUUGUAAUGUUUUGCUUUUUAAUGGAAACUUAGACAUUCAUUAAAAGAAAAAAACAAAGUAUUUUUUUUCAAGAAGGCUGAAAAGGAAAUAGUUUUAGAGCAGUGAUUGUCAAUGCUUAUGUUUCAAUGGAGAUGCAUGAAAAAGAUAAUCUUUUAUUAACCUACAGUUUAUAGUGCUGAAGAUUUGCUACUGCAAACACAUUCAGGAAUCCGGUUGUAGGCAAUAAUCAAGAUUUGCAAAGCCAGCUGAGGAAUGCAGGUCUGCAAAUUUCGUGGAAGGUCUACAAGUUUGAUGGAAGUCAUGCAGCAAAAUAGCUCAAA